GGAAACUGUAGACAAGUCGGA
rnacentral:snRNA from 1 species